AUUGAACGCUGGCGGCAGGCCUAACACAUGCAAGUCGAACGGUAGCACAGAGAGCUUGCUCUCGGGUGACGAGUGGCGGACGGGUGAGUAAUGUCUGGGAAACUGCCCGAUGGAGGGGGAUAACUACUGGAAACGGUAGCUAAUACCGCAUAACGUCGCAAGACCAAAGUGGGGGACCUUCGGGCCUCGCACCAUCGGAUGUGCCCAGAUGGGAUUAGCUAGUAGGUGGGGUAAUGGCUCACCUAGGCGACGAUCCCUAGCUGGUCUGAGAGGAUGACCAGCCACACUGGAACUGAGACACGGUCCAGACUCCUACGGGAGGCAGCAGUGGGGAAUAUUGCACAAUGGACGCAAGCCUGAUGCAGCCAUGCCGCGUGUAUGAAGAAGGCCUUCGGGUUGUAAAGUACUUUCAGCGGGGAGGAAGGCGGUGGAGUUAAUAACUUCACCGAUUGACGUUACCCGCAGAAGAAGCACCGGCUAACUCCGUGCCAGCAGCCGCGGUAA
rnacentral:rRNA from 1 species